GAUGAAGAACGCAGCGAAAUGCGAUAAGUAAUGUGAAUUGCAGAAUUCAGUGAAUCAUCGUAUCUUUGAACGCACAUUGCGCCCCCUGGUAUUCCGGGGGGCAUGCCUGUUCGAGCGUCAUUUCACCACUCAAGCCUCGCUUGGUAUUGGGCAUCGCGGUCCGCCGCGCGCCUCAAAUCGACCGGCUGGGUCUUCUGUCCCCUAAGCGUUGUGGAAACUAUUCGCUAAAGGGUGUUCGGGAGGCUACGCCGUAAAACAACCCCAUUUCUAAGGUUGACCUCGGAUCAGGUAGGGAUACCCGCUGAACUUAAGCAUAUCAAUAAGCGGAGGA
rnacentral:misc_RNA from 1 species